AUGAACGCUGGCGGCGUGCCUAAUACCUGCAAGUCGAGCGAACGGACGAGAAGCUUGCUUCUCUGAUGUUAGCGGCGGACGGGUGAGUAACACGUGGAUAACCUACCUAUAAGACUGGGAUAACUUCGGGAAACCGGAGCUAAUACCGGAUAAUAUUUUGAACCGCAUGGUUCAAAAGUGAAAGACGGUCUUGCUGUCACUUAUAGAUGGAUCCGCGCUGCAUUAGCUAGUUGGUAAGGUAACGGCUUACCAAGGCAACGAUGCAUAGCCGACCUGAGAGGGUGAUCGGCCACACUGGAACUGAGACACGGUCCAGACUCCUACGGGAGGCAGCAGUAGGGAAUCCUCCGCAAUGGGCGAAAGCCUGACGGAGCAACGCCGCGUGAGUGAUGAAGGUCUUCGGAUCGUAAAACUCUGUUAUUAGGGAAGAACAUAUGCGUAAGUAACUGUGCACAUCUUGACGGUACCUAAUCAGAAAGCCACGGCUAACUACGUG
rnacentral:rRNA from 1 species